CAGUAGCCGCGGUAAUACGUAGGGUGCAAGCGUUGUCCGGAAUUAUUGGGCGUAAAGAGCUCGUAGGCGGUUUGUCGCGUCUGCUGUGAAAUCCCGAGGCUCAACCUCGGGCUUGCAGUGGGUACGGGCAGACUAGAGUGCGGUAGGGGAGAUUGGAAUUCCUGGUGUAGCGGUGGAAUGCGCAGAUAUCAGGAGGAACACCGAUGGCGAAGGCAGAUCUCUGGGCCGUAACUGACGCUGAGGAGCGAAAGCGUGGGGAGCGAACAGGAUUAGAUACCCCAGUAGUCCCUGUCUCUUAUAC
rnacentral:rRNA from 1 species